AUUGAACGCUGGCGGCAUGCCUUACACAUGCAAGUCGAACGGUAACGCGGGGCAACCUGGCGACGAGUGGCGAACGGGUGAGUAAAGCAUCGGAACGUGUCCAGUAGUGGGGGAUAGCCCGGUGAAAGCCGGAUUAAUACCGCAUACGACCUAUGGGUGAAAGGGGGGGAUCGCAAGACCUCUCGCUAUUGGAGCGGCCGAUGUCAGAUUAGGUAGUUGGUGGGGUAAAGGCCUACCAAGCCGACGAUCUGUAGCUGGUCUGAGAGGACGACCAGCCACGCUGGGACUGAGACACGGCCCAGACUCCUACGGGAGGCAGCAGUGGGGAAUUUUGGACAAUGGGCGCAAGCCUGAUCCAGCCAUGCCGCGUGCGGGAAGAAGGCCUUCGGGUUGUAAACCGCUUUUGUCAGGGAAGAAAUCCUUUGGGUUAAUACCUCGGGGGGAUGACGGUACCUGAAGAAUAAGCACCGGCUAACUACGUGCCAGCAGCCGCAGUAAAAC
rnacentral:rRNA from 1 species